rnacentral:tRNA from 1 species
GGGGGGUUGCCCGAGCGGCCAAUGGGAGCGGACUGUAAAUCCGUCGCGAAAGCUACAGAGGUUCGAAUCCUCUACCCCCCA